GAAUGUCAAUGGGGUCGAGUUUCGGCUUCGACAACACACAGACGAUAAGGAAAAUUCAAGGUGAAAACAAGGCAAACGAAAACAUGGCAAAUAAAACUGGUGCGAACAUAGAUGAAAAUAAUAGAGAAAUAUACAUUAAGGACAAGGAUUUCUACUUAACCAUAUACACUGACCUACAAAAUUAGAGCUGCAAACACGUCGGUCCUGUGGCUUUAGCUUGAGGGACAUCGCUCGUUAGCGAAAUGAAUCCAAGAAAACCAACUCGACCAUCAGAAGCCACCUACUUUCGACGACUGCUCGUGCACGGGUUCCUGGCCAUGGGGAUCGACUGCAGGAGUUGCUAAGUGGCCAUCCAUCAUUACCAAUUAUCAAUGUCAGGUCAUCAAUCAUUCCAAGGUGGGUCACUUCAGAAAUUAGCCGGGACAAACUGGAUGCCUUUAGAGACGAAGGCAGAACCCCGUUGGAACCGAGACCGCGGGGAGAGUGAAAGGCACCCGAACUUCACAUAAAUACGUUUAUUAUAAUUUCAGAUUUUGUUUUGGAAAUAGUUCUUGAGAUAAGCUUGACGUUUCAUAAAAUGUAAUACAUAUAUAUUUCUUCGCGCUAA